UCUCAGGAAGCAAGGAGGAAAAGGGUUCCAUCAAUGCUGCCAACCCAACAGAGCCAAUAAGCAAGGGACGGAUUGGAAUAUUUCCUUUGGACUUUGUAACUUAGAGGUUAUUGAUGACAGUGGCAAAACCAAUUCCAGAGGAGUUGGUUAUCUCACUUCUCUGGAGGCUACAAGUCUGAAGUCAAGGCGUCGGCUGGGCUGCGCUCUCCGAAACCUGUAGGUGAGUAUCCUUCUCUGCUUCUUCUGGCUUCUGGUGGCAGUGUCCCACAUCAGUGCUGGGGCAUCGCAGCCGCAGCGCUCCGAUCCCAGCCUCCGUGGCAUUGUGUCUGUGUGUCUGUGUCUU
rnacentral:lncRNA from 1 species